GGCUGAGUAGCCAAGCGGUCGAAGGCGUCGGUCUGCAAAACCGAUAUCGUGAGUUCAAAUCUCACCUCAGCCUC
rnacentral:tRNA from 2 species